rnacentral:miRNA from 1 species
AAGGGUGCAAACAUAUGUGUGUGUAUAAAUAUAUGCAUAUGUAUGUACACACACACACACACACACACACACACACACACACACACACACACA